rnacentral:rRNA from 1 species
UAAAAUAAUCUAAGUGAUAAUACCCGAAAAUCUAAGAUCUAAGUGUAUAUUAAGUUUUAGAUUAAAGUUAAGGUGCUGUAGCAUCAGCUCGCAAUAAAUAAUACCUUAGUGGUGAAAAGCCUACAAUUAUAUUGAUAGCUGGAUAAUUAUUAAAUAUAUUUAGUUUAUAUUAAAGCUAUGAAGUGAUAAGAUUUUAUAGAAAGAAUUUAAUGUAUAUUUAAGACUACUAUUAAAUAAUCUUUAACAGUAUUUACUUAUAAUAAAAUAAUUUUACAUCUAUAACAUUCUUUUAUAAUAAUUUAUUUUUCUAAAUCAGUUAGAAAAUUUGAUAAUGUAUAAAUUAGUAUGUACUAUAAAUUUAAUUAAAUUAACUCGGCAAAUAUUAUGUACGACUGUUUAACAAAAACAUAGCCGGUAGCUAUUAUAUUAUCGGUGUGACCUGCCCGGUGAAUUUUUAACGGCCGCAGUACUAUGACUGUGCAAAGGUAGCAUAAUCAUUUGGCUUUUAAUUGGAGUCUGGCAUGAAAGGGAAAACGUACAUAAGCUGUAUCUAAUUAUAAAGUUAUUUAAAUUAUUAAUAGGGUGAAAAUACCCUAAAUUAAAAAAAUAGACGAGAAGACCCUUAGAAUUUUAAGAAAAACCGUAGCGAAUAUGGGGCGAUUUUUGUUGGGGCAACAUUUUUUCAUUUAAAUAAAAAAAAAAACAUUUAACUUAACGAAGAAGUUUAAUAAAGAAAAAAUUACCUUAGGGAUAACAGCAUAAUUUUAAUUAAAGAUUGUGACCUCGAUGUUGGACUAGGAACUAUUAAGGCUAGUCGUUUUAAUAUAAUAAGUUCUGUUCGAACUUUGUUUCCUA